AUUAGAGUUUGAUCAUGGCUCAGAAUCAACGCUGGCGGCGUGCCUAACACAUGCAAUCGAACGCGGUUACCCCGCAAGGGGCAACUGAUGGCGAACGGGUGAGUAACACGUGGGUGACCUACCUUCGAGUGGGGGAUAAACGUCCCGAAAGGGACGCUAAUACCGCAUAACAUCCUGCCUUUGAACAGGCGGAGAUCAAAGCUGGGGAUCGCAAGACCUGGCGCUUGAUGAGGGGCCCGCGUCCGAUUAGCUAGUUGGUGGGGUAAUGGCCUACCAAGGCGACGAUCGGUAGCCGGCCUGAGAGGGCGGACGGCCACACUGGGACUGAGACACGGCCCAGACUCCUACGGGAGGCAGCAGUGGGGAAUUGUUCGCAAUGGACGAAAGUCUGACGACGCAACGCCGCGUGGAGGAUGAAGGUCUUCGGAUUGUCUACCUAAUGCCCGGGACGAAAUGCUUCAACCUAACACGUU
rnacentral:rRNA from 1 species